AACAUCGCGCACCUGCGGGAACCUGCGGAAGGAUCAUUAACAAGAUCGAACCAAAAAAAAUAUGGACGAUCAAAUCCAUAUCCACCUUGUGUGCACUUAUUGACCGUUUGCUUUGGCAGGAGUUGUCUUUGGAUCCCGGCCCCCCCUCGAUAGAUGGGGAGAGGGAUCGAAGCUGCGAGGGUGGGAGGACCCCUCCCGUACACCCCUCGGCCUGCCAGAGUUUUUUAAGAUCCACACUUU
rnacentral:misc_RNA from 1 species